rnacentral:rRNA from 1 species
GCUCAGAGGUAAACGGGUGGAGUUGAACUGCAAGCUCUGUGAAUUCAGCUGGUGAGUAUGGUUUGGGCUUGGUCAAGUUGGUCGAGCUUCGAAGUCUGCGUAUUAGCAGGUCUCUGCUCUCGGGUGGAGAUGCGCGGUGCACCUACCAAGUGUUGUGCGCUUCGGAGUUCCGGAUCAGCUCGCCAGUGCACUUUUGCAGAGUGUUCACCACGACCGGCAUCGCUGUCUGGCUGUUGUGGUUAAACCGGUCUUGCAUUGUCCUUGUGGCUUUGUUUGGUCGGGACGGCAGGUAGCUCGUUGAUGUUCCGUAGCUUGCUGCGGUCGUCUUCGGGUGUAAUCAGCUGACUACGAUGGUUCUGUGCAGUAUGUCGGAGACGGCGGCUUGUGUGUUCGUGCAUGCCGGUCCUGUGGGCUUGCUCGGGUCUGACUGUCGUGUUGCUUGCGUAAGCAGGCCUGAUGGUGGCUCGGGUUUGUUCUGCAGGCGGUUGUGUGCGUGACAUCUUAUGCGGGCCAAUAGUCUGUGGUGUAGUGGUAGACGAUCCACCUGACCCGUCUUGAAACACGGACCAAGGAGAGUAACAUGUGCGCGAGUCAUUGGGCGUAACGAAACCCAAAGGCGCAGUGAAAGUAAAGGCUUGGCUUGUCCUUGCUGAGGUGAGAUCCUGCCGUUUCUCAUGCGCGGUACUACCAAGCAUCGAGCGGUGGGCGCAUCACCGGCCCGUCCCAUGACGUAAACACAUAGCUUCGUGCCAGUGCACCGUCGGGGCGGAGCAUGAGCGUACAUGUUGAGACCCGAAAGAUGGUGAACUAUGCUUGCGCAGGUUGAAGCCAGAGGAAACUCUGGUGGAGGACCGCAGCGAUUCUGACGUGCAAAUCGAUCGUCAAACGUGAGUAUA